rnacentral:rRNA from 1 species
UACGUAGGGGGCUAGCGUUGUCCGGAAUCAUUGGGCGAAAAGCGCGUGUAGGCGGCCCGAUAAGUCCGCUGUGAAAGUCCAGGGCUCAACCCUGGGAUGCCGGUGGAUACUGUCGGGCUCGAGUCCGGAAGAGGCGAGUGGAAUUCCUGGUGUAGCGGUGAAAUGCGCAGAUAUCAGGAGGAACACCAAUGGCGAAGGCAGCUCGCUGGGACGUGACUGACGCUGAGACGCGAAAGCGUGGGGAGCAAACAGG